rnacentral:rRNA from 1 species
UACGUAGGCAGCGAGCGUUGUUCGGAGUUACUGGGCGUAAAGAGUGCGUAGGCGGUUUUCUAAGUUUGGUGUGAAAUCUCCCGGCUUAACUGGGAGGGUGCGCCGAAGACUGGAAGGCUUGAGUAUGGGAGGAGUAAGCGGAAUUCCUGGUGUAGCGGUGAAAUGCGUAGAUAUCAGGAAGAACACCAGUGGCGAAGGCGGCUCACUGGCCCGGUACUGACGCUGAUGUGCGAAAGCGUGGGGAGCAAACAGG